AGUAAAGCGAGUGCUAAUAAAGAGGCAGAGCUGGCAACUCCUGUGCAAGGCCGGGGCAAUGUGCCCCACCUCCGAGAUGCUUCUGGAGGGAGCUCAGCCCUCCCUCCCUCCUUCCCGCUGUGAUGUUGCUUAUUAAAGCAGCGGGAGGGUCUGCGAAUGCCCAGAGUCAAGCACGGCUCAGCACAACGUGUUCUGUAGGCAGAUCCUGCUCCCGAGAAAGGCCGAGCUGAGAGGAGAGAUAGGAAGAAGAGAAAGUCUGAAUUUCUCCUUCGAAGACAGAUGGAAAAGGUUGCACUGCUUUUGCCGGACCACAGAGCAGGCACGGGGACCUUUGCCGUGGGGCAGGAUAACCUUUCAGCGCUUGCAUGUGCCACCAUGCUAUGCCAUCAGGGACACCGGGAGGCCAAGAAAGCGUCCAGGGUCACUCGGUCCGUUGUAGACAGACCAUGAAAUGCAAGUUCACCACAUCAGACUGCUCUGGCCACUGGGUUUGCUCUUUCUCCCAUUCCCAACCCUUCAGUCUGGUAAGACUGUGCUGACACCAAAUUCAGCUGGGGUGUAGACUGUGCACUGUGGUGACUGCCAGGUGUGAGCAAAGGCUGGGGAGAUGCUGGAUGGAUUAAAGCUGAACCGAAAAUAAGCCUCAUUUAUCCUCCUGCGCCUAUGCAGUGCAGAAUGCACUCCACUGAUGCAAUUACAGCCUGCAAAAAUGCAGUUUUAACACUGCACUACCUUUUACGAGAAGAAUCUUCAAUUAAAACUCUUCCUAAAUGAUAGGAAUUGUGGCACUUAACAGCAAAAGCUUCUGGAAACAUUCCCAGUCCCUGGCCUAUUCAUCAGGAUUGUUAUAUUUCUGCUGCUGAAAAGAGGAAAGUACCUUUUUCUCUUACUAUUUAUUAGCAUGUACCAUAGUGUGAGGGACUGCGCCGGGGAGGGGAACCCUGUUGUGAACGGCACUGGGUAAACACAGCAGAAAUGACAGUGACAGUCCUCAUCACAGAGUGUUAGCAAUUCAAACAGCCAUGUCAGUCAAAGAAUUUGAGAGAAGAGAUGUAACACAAGCAAAAGGAAGAAUGUGACAGUUUGCAAACACUGAGUGAGUUGCAUGAUUUUUCAGAGGUGUGUUCGUUCUUUAAGUAUCUUGAAGGAAAUGCAAAUGAAUUUUAUCCUGGACAAGUCUAUGUGCAAGCCAGGUCUGUUGGAGCUUUAUGUUAGACAUGUAGAAAUUUCUUUCUCUUGUAGAGAGAGAUAACCACAGGGCUUUUUGAAAAUUUCAGGAAAUUAUCCAAGGCCUGUUUUUGCAUAAGAGCGCAGGGGGAUAUAUCAUUGAGCCCUAGGGAAGGGCAGCCUUGUGCUAAUCUAUUAAUAAUAAGCAGAAGAAAGUAGUAAAACAGAAGCAGUGGAGCAAAAAGAAAACAAAAAACACCACCAGACAGAAGCUGAUGAUUUUCCAAGGUAAGAUUUGGGGGUACUUGGAAUUUAUUGACGUUGCCUAAAACAACCAAUUCAAUCCCUCCACACCGCAAAGGUAACAUCAAACUUAAGAAAUUUAGGAAAUUAGGCUAAACAUUUUCUAUUAUCCUGAAAUGUUGCCUUAGAGAACUGAUAACACAGAAAGAAUUUCCUUGGGAAGGAACAAGUAAAGGAUGCUGCAGAAUUAUUUUAGUUAAACUAACUGCAAUGCUAAAAAUGAAUUCUGGAGCAGGACAAUAAAGAACUCACACAAGAAUAUUAAUUCUGCUUCCAAUCAUCCAAGCAGUUCAGUCACUAAAGUCAGGAGUGAAUUCAUAGUCUGUCUAGUUUCCACGGGCUUUGGGGAGGCCUUGCCAAUGCUAUUCUUUCCUGCUAGAUUUGCCUGUGACUCUUCAAUGUUAUUAGUGGAAAUAAUUUCCUCUAUGGAGAAGCAGCUGCCUCUCCCCUGCUGCUCUGUCUCUGCUGUGGAUUGCUCCACCGUACAUCGAAUCUUCCCUCAAUCCUCGUAGGCAGCACCAAGGGCUGUGCCUGCAGGGUGUUGUUCAGUCUUUUGCCCAAUUAUCCAGGCACAAAAUGCCCAUUCUAAGCUAAUCAUGAAAGACAGUCUUCUCCUGGUGAAAACACUCUCUGAGGACUCACCUCUGCCACGGUGCCUUCAAGGAACUAACCCACUAAUUAUGGGAAAGGAGCGCUUGGAUUUAUAUCAUACAUGACAUUAAAAGCAGAAAGGGAGAUCCCAAGGCUGAGACCCCAGGUACUUGUCCCAUCGCUUUGCUGUGCUGCUUGACCCCUUCCCUGUCUCUCUGGUUCCCCAGGGAGACCUGCUCGUCCCCACUGGCAGCGUGUAUUCCCUCGGUGAGAGACUCUCCAAGGCCUUUUUGAAAAUCCCCAUCUAAAUACACAUGUGUCGAACUUUAUAAAGUGUGGCUGCAAAGAGUAAGUCCUAUAUGUAACACGUUAUAAAGUCCUCAGCUAGCAAGCACUAGGGCAGAGUAAAAUGGUUAUUUUAGCCGUAUCAUCUCUUACGAUUGCUUGUCCUCCAUCUCUGUGGAGGGGUGGCUGGCAGAGCACAGCUCUGCUGAUUUAAGCUCGCCAGGCUCCUGUGUUGGCUCUCUUGCU